GAGGUGUGUGAAAGUCGAUUUCCGGCUUGAUGAUUCUGUCCUUUUGUGUGUGAUGAAAUGAUGAGGUGAGGACGAAAGCGUUCCUCUUACCAUCAAGUCAGAAGUACAUCAGCUAGCUCUUAUUAUUUUGUGUAUUUGUUCGUUGCAACCCUGAUGUGACAAAGUUACAGUGAAAGUAUAAAACGUGUCACACUUUGACUUGUCUUCAUCAAACUUACAAGGUCCUGAACUAGACGCUGGAACAAUUACUACAUCAACAUACGCUGGAACAAGACCUACAUCAAGAUGAACAGAAUUCUACUCGUUUGUUUCAUCUCCUUCGCUUGUGUCAGUUUCACAACAGCCGAAGUCACAUUUACCGAAGGUGCAACUACAGCGAGUAUCCCAGGUAUUGUACUGUCACCUACGAAACAUGAAACUACCCCAAGUGUUGUAAUGCAGAAGUCGACUGCCCUAUAAAAGCAGGAUAAACCAAUCAAGAUGAUUAGUUUGCUGAAAUAAAAAUAAAAAUAAAUACACUUUAACAAACAUUACGUAUAAAUGGCUUCAUAUUUAUUAAAAUGAAGUUCUUU